GAGGCCAUUGCUAUCGGGGUCCGAUUUAGCCAUGCUAGUUGCACGAGUUCAGACUCGUGGCGCAUAGCUCCGUAACACGUGGCCAAGCUACCCUUCGGAGGAGGAUAACCUCGGGAAACUGAGGCUAAUACUCCAUACGCCAUCCCAACUGGAAUGUGGGAUGGGAGAAAUGCUCCGGCGCCGAAGGAUGCGGCUGCGGCCGAUUAGGUAGACGGUGGGGUAACGGCCCACCGUGCCGAUAAUCGGUACGGGUUGUGAGAGCAAGAGCCCGGAGACGGAAUCUGAGACAAGAUUCCGGGCCCUACGGGGCGCAGCAGGCGCGAAACCUUUACACUGCACGCCAGUGCGAUAAGGGGACCCCGAGUGCGCAGGCAUAGAGCCUGCGCUUUUGUGAACUGUAGGGAGGUUCACGAACAAGAGCUGGGCAAGACCGGUGCCAGCCGCCGCGGUAAUACCGGCAGCUCGAGUGAUGGCCGAUCUUAUUGGGCCUAAAGCGUCCGUAGCUGGCCUCUCAAGUCCGUCGGGAAAUCCACCUGCUCAACAGGUGGGCGUCCGGCGGAAACUGGGAGGCUUGGAACCGGAAGGCGCGACGGGUACGUCCGGGGUAGGAGUGAAAUCCCGUAAUCCUGGACGGACCGCCGAUGGCGAAAGCACGUCGCGAGGACGGAUUCGACAGUGAGGGACGAAAGCUGGGGUCUCGAACCGGAUUAGAUACCCGGGUAGUCCCAGCCGUAAACGAUGCCUGUUAGGUGUGGCUCCCACUACGAGUGGGUGCUGUGCCGUAGGGAAGCCGCUAAACAGGCCGCCUGGGAAGUACGUCUGCAAGGAUGAAACUUAAAGGAAUUGGCGGGGGAGCAC
rnacentral:rRNA from 1 species